rfam:Hordeum vulgare subsp. vulgare, WGS project CAJW01000000 data, contig: morex_contig_1563093
UGCCUACUCCGUCCCUCCUAAAUUACUUGUCUUAGAUUUGUCUAGAUAUGUAUGUAUCUAGACAUGUUUUAGUGUUAGAUACAUCCGUAUCUAGAUAAAUGUAAGACAAUUUGGGACGGAGGGAGUAUAUU